AGGAACAACCACAUUGGCGGAGGACAGCUCUGGAGCCCUGGAGUCAGCUCCUGCAGUAACUACAGAGCUCUCUCUCUGCAGGAGCCUGGAUGCUCCGGGGGCAG
rnacentral:pre_miRNA from 1 species